rnacentral:rRNA from 1 species
AUUGAACGCUGGCGGCAUGCUUUACACGUGCAAGUCGAACGGCAGCGCGGGCUUCGGCCUGGCGGCGAGUGGCGAACGGGUGAGUAAUACAUCGGAACGUGCCCAGUAGUGGGGGAUAGCUCGGCGAAAGCCGGAUUAAUACCGCAUACGACCUGAGGGUGAAAGCGGGGGAUCUUCGGACCUCGCGCUAUUGGAGCGGCCGAUGGCAGAUUAGCUAGUUGGUGGGGUAAAAGCCUACCAAGGCGACGAUCUGUAGCUGGUCUGAGAGGACGACCAGCCACACUGGGACUGAGACACGGCCCAGACUCCUACGGGAGGCAGCAGUGGGGAAUUUUGGACAAUGGGCGAAAGCCUGAUCCAGCAAUGCCGCGUGUGUGAUGAAGGCCUUCGGGUUGUAAAGCACUUUUGGCGGGAACGAAAAGGACUGUGCCAAUACCACGGUUCGAUGACGGUACCCGCAGAAUAAGCACCGGCUAACUACGUG